rnacentral:rRNA from 2 species
GCGUGCCUAUACAUGCAGUCGAACGAACUCUGGUAUUGAUUGGUGCUUGCAUCAUGAUUUACAUUUGAGUGAGUGGCGAACUGGUGAGUAACACGUGGGAAACCUGCCCAGAAGCGGGGGAUAACACCUGGAAACAGAUGCUAAUACCGCAUAACAACUUGGACCGCAUGGUCCGAGUUUGAAAGAUGGCUUCGGCUAUCACUUUUGGAUGGUCCCGCGGCGUAUUAGCUAGAUGGUGGGGUAACGGCUCACCAUGGCAAUGAUACGUAGCCGACCUGAGAGGGUAAUCGGCCACAUUGGGACUGAGACACGGCCCAAACUCCUACGGGAGGCAGCAGUAGGGAAUCUUCCACAAUGGACGAAAGUCUGAUGGAGCAACGCCGCGUGAGUGAAGAAGGGUUUCGGCUCGUAAAACUCUGUUGUUAAAGAAGAACAUAUCUGAGAGUAACUGUUCAGGUAUUGACGGUAUUUAACCAGAAAGCCACGGCUAACUACGUGCCAGCAGCCGCGGUAAUACGUAGGUGGCAAGCGUUGUCCGGAUUUAUUGGGCGUAAAGCGAGCGCAGGCGGUUUUUUAAGUCUGAUGUGAAAGCCUUCGGCUCAACCGAAGAAGUGCAUCGGAAACUGGGAAACUUGAGUGCAGAAGAGGACAGUGGAACUCCAUGUGUAGCGGUGAAAUGCGUAGAUAUAUGGAAGAACACCAGUGGCGAAGGCGGCUGUCUGGUCUGUAACUGACGCUGAGGCUCGAAAGUAUGGGUAGCAAACAGGAUUAGAUACCCUGGUAGUCCAUACCGUAAACGAUGAAUGCUAAGUGUUGGAAGGGUUUCCGCCCUUCAGUGCUGCAGCUAACGCAUUAAGCAUUCCGCCUGGGGGAGUACGGCCGCAAGGCUGAAACUCAAAGGAAUUGACGGGGGCCCGCACAAGCGGUGGAGCAUGUGGUUUAAUUCGAAGCUACGCGAAGAACCUUACCAGGUCUUGACAUACUAUGCAAAUCUAAGAGAUUAGACGUUCCCUUCGGGGACAUGGAUACAGGUGGGGGCUGGGUUGUCGUCAGCUCCUGUCCUGAGAAGUUUGGGGUUAAGUCCCCGCACCAAGCGCAACCCUUAUUAUCAUUUGCCACCAUUAAAUUGGGCACUCUGGUGAGACUGCCGGUGACAACCCGAGGAAGAGGGGGGGAUGAAAACCAAAACAAAAAUGCCCCCUUAUAACCUGGGGGGAACACCCUGGUU